AAGCGAGUCACGCGCUCUAAUCCCCGCUUCGCGCCGCCGUCACCAGCGGACGUUGGGGGUCCUCCUCUGCAACGCGUCCCCUCGGAGUCAUAAGGAGCUUAGAUGACGCAGCAUUUUUCAUGGCUUGUUUGUUUCUUUUGAUCCUGGCUGAGGUUAUUUCGCACACGAACACGGGCUUUUGACAAAUAAAGUGCAGGUACACGGCAAUGUAUCUUACACUGAGCCAUUUUAGCACCACGAAAUACAACAUAGAGGUUGUACUCGAAGGUGUUGGAGCCAAACACAGAUGCCAGGGAUCUGUGAGGAGAACUCUCAUCGUCAACGGUGUCCCGUGAGCCACGUUAUGCAAGUUACUGAUGGGACUGUGUGUGAAACGUUUCUGCUCCUACACCGCCACCUGGUGGUCACCUCACGUACAACAAAACAUGCAAAGAAAACAAAUUACGUUACAUUUAGUGUACAUAUACUGCAAAACAGACUAUCCUGUCAAUGUCAAAACAAUUUUAAUUCACAAAAAUACAUUGACCAAUAUAAUGAAAAUGUACUAAAAUGUACUUUAAUAAUCCAUAAAAGCUGGAACAUCAUUGACAGAAAAACACAAGAAGCAUCAUUAGAGUUGGUUUAGUAUAAUAUAUUUCAGCUUCAAGAGACAUAGAAAUCAAUCCGUAUUUUCCCCAUAUUUCUUCUAUAAAAGACCCAUUUUUUCUGAAGCAUUAUUAUGCAAAAAAUGGCAUUAGAAUAUAUUAUGGGAGCUAUGAAAUCCCAGUGACUGAGUAUAAAAUUAAGUCACAUUAGAGAGAGAUAUUUGCAGAAGAGAAGUCCAUGAACAACAGGGCAAAGAAAAAAACAUAAAAAUAAUAAUACAUAUUAUAGACCUUGAUCUAUCAUCACUGACAUGACAGGCAUGAAGAAUAGGUGUAUGGCUAUAAAAGAUUUCUCACUUUUCCACUUGAAAACAUCUACACUUAAUAACUGAUGCAUUUUUUCAUGCUUGCUUUUGAAGAAUAUUUAUAAUCAUACAACUAAAGAGGUCAUUCUUGUCUUUCAAAUACAAUAUUGAUAUUGAAGAGAUGUAAAAUACUGAAGCCAAGUUCUAAUUUUAGUUUUUUUUUUGUUAUCCUGCCAAAAUAAA